UUAACUUCCGAUGUGGGACAUU
rnacentral:siRNA from 1 species